rnacentral:rRNA from 1 species
UACGUAGGAGGCGAGCGUUGUCCGGAGUUACUGGGCGUAAAGGGUGCGUAGGCGGUCGGGUAAGUCUGAUGUGAAAUCUCACAGCUUAACUGUGAAACUGCAUUGGAUACUAUCCGGCUAGAGGAAUGGAGGGGAGACUGGAAUACUUGGUGUAGCAGUGAAAUGCGUAGAUAUCAAGUGGAACACCAGUGGCGAAGGCGAGUCUCUGGACAUUUCCUGACGCUGAGGCACGAAAGCCAGGGGAGCAAACGGG